rnacentral:lncRNA from 1 species
GUUUCUCACAUUCAAAAAUAAGAUGGAUGUCCCAGCUCAAGCUCCUGUUCAGACAACUCCACUAGUGCCUGCAGAAAUACCACAACCCAAUGAAUUUGUCGAGAUAGCACCACCAGUGCCUGCUACUCCUAAACCUAAUUUCCUUACACCACCACCAACAGAAGAGGAACGGCCAAAACUCAAGCGCAAUUUUUUUCACAAUUGGGUCGACCCAGCAGAUUGGACCGAACGUGACCUAGCGCGAAUGACUCCGGAAGCAAGAGAGGAUUAUGAACGUUUUAUAUUGAGCGAUAGACCGAAAUAUAUUCCAAUGAAGCCGGAAAACUUGCAAAGUUAUCCUCAGAAGAUAGACAAGAAUAUGAGAACUCUUUAAAAAUAAC